CUCAAAGAUUAAGCCAUGCAAGUGGUUAUAAUUAACCCGACAGUUUAAAUAAGUGUUAAAAUGCUAUACUAAUUUUAAACAAUUAAUACAUAUAUUAUAGUGAUUUCACAUAUAUCACUUACGCAACUGCAGACAGCUGCUUAAUACAGUCACACUUGUCUUGACUUGGCGCAAUAAAUAAAUAAAAAAAAUAUGUAUAUUACGCACAAAUUUUAUACACACACACAUUAUAUAUUUUUGUGCAUACAUUUUUUUUUAUAUAUUUUAAUUAAUUGAUUUCUCUGUAACAAUAAAGAUUUUAAUUAUUUUACGUUACACCGUGAAAAUAUCUCUUUUUGGAUAACUCAGGGAAAGUUUGGCUAAUACGUACGAGCAAAUAUAAAUUUUACGCACACACACACACUUAUGCGUAAAAUUCAAAAUAUACACACGUGUAUAUAUAUAAUACGCUCACCCUAAAAAUUUUAAUUCUAUAUAUACAUACACACACACACACGAAAAUGCAUUUUGUGGCAUUUUGUCAUACAGUACACGGUUCUUAAUAGGUGCGGCCAUCGCAAAGACCGUACUUUAUAGUGCGCAGCAGGAAGUAAUACUACCGAACGGACAGAGGGGUACUAAUGACAAUAUUUAGCCACGUAUACACACACACACACACACACGGCAUUUUUAAUUGUUGUAUAUAUAGUAUAAAUUUUAAAAUGCAGCGUAAUAUUAUUAUUACACACACACACACACACACACACGUGUAUAUUUUAACCUAAUAUUACUACUCAGCACAUAUUGGUAAAUUUUUGGCUCAUUCGUGAGUCAGUUUUAAAAUUUUACACGCAACAUGAGAGACAAUAUGUACGCACAAAAAUGAUAUAUUUAUUUAUACAUUUUUAUAAUACGCUGAGCAGACUUUGCGAAGUUUACUUUGCGAAGCAGGUCAUACAAGCAUCUACAGCAUCAAGUCACAGGGUUGGCAAGUGUAUUUUUGAACCUUCAAAGCAGUCACGCAUACGGAAGAGUAGUUUCUGAUCCCAUAGAAGGAGCACCGUACAAUGAGAGACCGCUCUUAGUUCUAAGGAACGCAGCAGGCGCGUAAAUUGCCCAAUGCUAGUACCCUAUAUAUACUAUGUAUUUACACAAUUUACACUAAAAAAAAUAUUAAUUUAAUUUUAGCGCAUUACACACUUUUUUAUAAAUUGUCUAAAAUUUAUCCUUGUUUUACUGUGUAUUAACUCAUAUUUAUUUACUUGUGAGGCAGUGACAAGCUGUAACGGUUGAGUAUAAAAAUGACGAGUGUCUGGCAUAGCCGUCUAAUCUUCGGUUAGGCUUGGCUGUUCGCCGACGCUUUGUGUGCUCAAUUGGAAUGCGGUGAGUUUAAGCAACUCAGAACCUUUUGUUAUGGUGUAAUUUAUUUUGCACUUAUACAUGUAUCUGAAUUUCAAGUGGAGGGCAAGUCUGGUGCCAGCAGCCGCGGUAAUACCAGCUCCACUGGCCUAUACAAUCAUUGUUGCGGUUAAGAGGCUCGUAGUUGGAUUGAACUUAUGCUAUAUGUUUAUAGCGAAGUUUACGCGUAAUAUAUUUUUAUUAUGCGUUCGACGUCUGUUAAAUUUUUUAUAUGCGCGCAUAUUAAUUACACACACACAACCCACUAUGCGUGUCGUAUAAACAUAUUUACUGCGUAAAAAAAUUUACAUUUAUUUUCAACACUGUGAACAAAUCAGCGUGUAUCAAACAUGUCUUUUUUUGAAUGUGCAAUGAAUGUCUUAUCAUGGAAUGUUGCACUUUCGCUUUUAAAAAAAAAUUCAUGCUUUUUAUUACACACACACAUAUUUUAACGCGCGAGUAAAUUUUUUUUUUUUUAACAGCUUAAAAAUGUCGAUGGGGAUAGUUGGAGUCAAGAGUACUGUUGGGCGAGAGGUGAAAUUCAUUGACCCUAGCAAGACUACCAAAAGCGAAAGCACUUGGCUAGGCUAUACUCUUUGUGAUUAUAUUAAUAUAUAUAUUUGUAUGCGUAACACACACACACACAUACGCGCGCGUAAAAUAUAUAUAUAUAUACACCUUACAAUGAAGAACGAAGGUUGGGGGAUCAAAGAGGAUCAGAUACCCUCGUCGUCCCAUUAAUUACAUCAAACGAUGGGCUCUCAAUUGCAUUUUAUUAUUUUAUUAUUAAAAUUGCUAAAAUGCCCUCAGCCUACAAAAACAAAAUCUGUGCUUGAGCUUGUAAAUAAUUUUACUAUUAUUUUACGCUCGCCUAACUAAAAUAUUUUCGUACGGUCUCGAUGGACGUUUCAUUUUUUUUAAACUUUUUUUUUGCGUGUAAGCAAUAUUUUUUUAAUGUAAAUUAAUUUUUACAUAUAAAAUUUGCGUGCACUUGAUUUUCGGAGCUUUGCGCUCAAUAUUUUCUGGUGAGAUGUAAGCACUAUUGUUAUUACAGCCGCGUAAUUUAUUUUACUGCGUGCAGUUAAGACAUAUUUUUGGUGUGAAGCACGCUUUAGGCACGCGCUUACUGCAGAAAUGUCUGAGACAUUCCCUUCCGGGGGUAGUAUGCACGCAAGUGUGAAACUUGAAGGAAUUGACGGAAGGGCACCACAAGAACGCGUGGAGCAUGUGGCUUAAUUUGACUCAACGCGGGAAAUCUUACCGGGUCCGGACACACUGAGGAUUGACAGGCAAAUAUAUAUAUAUUAAAUAUGCUAGUCCUUUCAUGAUUAUGUGAUAGGUGGUGCAUGGCCGUUCUUAGUUCGUGGAGUGAUCUGUCAGCUUAAUUGCGUUUCACUAAGGGCUUUUAUAAAUUUAAUGCGCAGUGUGUUGUUGUAUUUUUAUACUCACACACACACGCGCAUGUAAUUAAGUCCUGAAAGCAACGAACGUGACCGCAACCUCUUGUUGCCUUUAUAUAUAUUUUUAUGCGCUCGCGCGUAAAAUAAAAAAAAGGCUUUUUUAUAAACUAGAGGGACCGCUGUAACUUUUUUAAACCAGAGGAAGGUUGCGGCAAUAACAGGUCUGUGAUGCCCUUAGAUGUUCCGGGCUGCACACGUGCUACAAUGAUCAUUGCAGUAAGCAUCUCAUUUUAAUUUUACACCGCAUUUGCGCGCGCGUUGUAUAUAUUUUUUUAUAUACAUUUGCUGUGCUGCAAAAGCGGUAAAAAGCCUGCUUCGAAAGUAAGUGGGUAAUCAAUUAGAAGUAAUGAUUUCCCUAAAUUUUUUUUAAUAGCACACAUAUAUACGGCAUCUUUACCCGUUAGUUUUUUUUUUUAAAAUACUAUUUUGUGCGUAUCGAUCGAAUCCCGUAUGUGCAAUUUGUCAAUUCAUGGUGGGGAUAGACCAUUGUUUUUAAUUGUUGGUCUCGGUCUUAACUAGGAAUGCCUUGUACGGGUCUUUGGUUCAACAAACCACCCGGAAUACGUCCCUGCCCUUUGUACACACCGCCCGUCGCUCUUACCGAUGGACUUCUCUGUGAGCUUGAGGGACUGACUGCGUAUCGCGAAUGGAAACUUAAACGAACAGUGUGGUCUAAAGGAAAGAGAAGUCGUAACAAGGCAUCGGUAGGUGAACCU
rnacentral:rRNA from 1 species